UGACUAUUAUGACUCAGAUAUAGCCUGGAUGGAAUUGGUCAGUACCCUUAUUUACGUUCCUAAAAAUGUUCAUAGUUGUAUGUAGCAGUUGCUUCAGUAUAUGAGCCCCCUUCUGUGGGAACUGGACAUUACUCUUCGUCUUCCCAAAAGACAAUUCUACAAUUUUGGGGUCCCUCCUAUGAAAAAUGAAUGCAUUAAGCCAUUGACACAUGUUUUAUUGCAAUUUCUGGUGUGUGCAGCCACCUUUUCUCAAGCAUAGUUGCAUUCUCAACUGUACCUGUUAUUGUGAAAUUCCAAGAAACUCUGCGUAUUGAAAUGUCUAAAAGUUUAACAAGAAAUGACUGGAAACAAUGUGUAGUAGAGAACUAAAAUGUAUUCUGAUCUGAUAGACAAAUAUUGUAAAUCAGAGUGCUCGUAUUACCGUUGUUUGAAGCUGCAGUAAAUGUGCUUCCUUCUCAUUUUCAAAUUUUAUUGAUUCUUUUAUUUUAUUUGUUCCCAAAAUGAUGUAAAUUGAGGUUUUAUAGGAGGAUUUAAUAUCAGAACAGGUAAUAGAAAUUUGGGUCUUAAACAAAGCUAAAUGGAGGAAAAUGAAACUUGCAGCCAACUCCAGUAAGUUUGAGAUUAAUGCUUUGUUCAGCUGAGUUGAGUUUUAUUAUGUUUCUUGGGGUCCCUCAUGUUUUUUUAAUUCUUUAAUAACAUUUGAUUAUCAAAUAAGAGAGCAUUACAAUCCUCCACUAAUUUGUAUUAUAUUAGGCUUGCAUCUUUAUGGAGUUUUGUUAUACUCGAUUUGUUUAACCUUUAAUGAAAUAAAUGAAAAAUUAAAGAGUUUUUGCAAGACAAAUUUUAAAUUAAUAAUAAGUAGGUUCAGAAAGAUUUUUUUUCUUAAUAUUAAACCUUUUGGGUUUACCUUUUAUGUUACCCCAUCAGGUGCUUAAGAUUUUAGCGUUCCCAUUAAAGUUUGAUGAGCAUUUGAUCUUUUUUUAUGGUGCAGGACUCUAAGCUGGAUGUAACUAUAGGUCCAUACGAGACAUAU
rnacentral:misc_RNA from 1 species